ACUAGUGACCCUGACUCUCCCUGUGCCAGAGGAGGAAAUGUAUAGAUGGCCUGUGGAGAUCCAGGUUUAGGUAAAAGCUUGAAGUAGUUUUGAGUGCAGAUAUCAAAUAUCAACUAGAAUAUCACCAUGGGGUGGAAAGUUUUUUAAGUCGUAAGCUUGUGGGUACUUGGAGUAAGAGAGAUGCUGUGCAUUGGCGGAUAAUCAAAGAUUCCAUGGUGGUGGUGGCAUAUCUUAUCUAUUGAUGAUAAAAGUGCUUUUCCUGGCAAUUUUAUUUGUUCCAAUUUAUAUUUCAGUUGUAAGGAUAAAUUUUGCAUUGUGUCUAG
rnacentral:misc_RNA from 1 species